UAGCCUUUCCUUAGCUCCAUCAAGGGAAAGUAGGUGUUGUGUCUUCUUUGGAUCAUCUGCACCAUAUAUGAAUUAAAGGAACUGGUAGCGAUUAGAGGAAAACAAAAACAAAUCUCUGAGGAUGAAAAAAAGUCAACCAGAGAUGAAAAGUCAAAAUUGGAAAGAAGGCCGGAGAGGCUGACCGAGGGAGCGGACGGUAGCAUGAACGGUAUAGCGACGCUGAAGCAAGAGCUUAACGAGCCAUGAAGCUAUGAAUCCCGAAGCUCCUGUAACACAGACUACCUUCCCUUCUCCGGCCAUUUCUCUGAAAUCAAGGAGUUCUGUUGGAGCUCACCCAGCACAAGUUGGAGGCCUAAGGAGUUACUUUCUAA